rnacentral:rRNA from 1 species
GACGAACGCUGGCGGCGUGCCUAAUACAUGCAAGUCGAGCGGACGAAUCGAAAGCUUGCUUUUGAUUCGUUAGCGGCGGACGGGUGAGUAACACGUGGGCAACCUGCCCUGUAGACGGGGAUAACACCGAGAAAUCGGUGCUAAUACCGGAUAACACGAAAUGUCGCAUGACGUUUCGUUGAAAGACGGCGCAAGCUGUCGCUACAGGAUGGGCCCGCGGCGCAUUAGCUAGUUGGUGAGGUAACGGCUCACCAAGGCGACGAUGCGUAGCCGACCUGAGAGGGUGAUCGGCCACACUGGGACUGAGACACGGCCCAGACUCCUACGGGAGGCAGCAGUAGGGAAUCUUCCGCAAUGGACGAAAGUCUGACGGAGCAACGCCGCGUGAGCGAAGAAGGCCUUCGGGCCGUAAAGCUCUGUUGUUAGGGAAGAACAAGUAACGCAGUAACUGGCGUUACCGUGACGGUACCUAACGAGAAAGCCACGGCUAACUACGUG